rnacentral:rRNA from 1 species
UGGCGGCGUGGAUAAGACAUGCAAGUCGAACGAGAGAAUUGCUAGCUUGCUAAUAAUUCUCUAGUGGCGCACGGGUGAGUAACACGUGAGUAACCUGCCCCCGAGAGCGGGAUAGCCCUGGGAAACUGGGAUUAAUACCGCAUAGUAUCGAAAGAUUAAAGCAGCAAUGCGCUUGGGGAUGGGCUCGCGGCCUAUUAGUUAGUUGGUGAGGUAACGGCUCACCAAGGCGAUGACGGGUAGCCGGUCUGAGAGGAUGUCCGGCCACACUGGAACUGAGACACGGUCCAGACACCUACGGGUGGCAGCAGUCGAGAACCAUUCACAAUGGGGGAAACCCUGAUGGUGUGACGCCGCGUGGGGGAAUGAAGGUCUUCGGAUUGUAAACCCCUGUCAUGUGGGAGCAAAUUAAAAAGAUAGUACCACAAGAGGAAGAGACGGCUAACUCUGUGCCAGCAGCCGCGGUAAUACAGAGGUCCCAAGCGUUGUUCGGAAUCACUGGGCGUAAAGCGUGCGUAGGCUGUUUCGUAAGUCGUGUGUGAAAGGCGCGGGCUCAACCCGCGGACGGCACAUGAUACUGCGAGACUAGAGUAAUGGAGGGGGAACCGGAAUUCACGGUGUAGCA